GACGAACGCUGGCGGCGCGCCUAAUACAUGCCAGUCGAGCGGACCGGAUUGGGGCUUGCCUUGAUUCGGUCAGCGGCGGACGGGUGAGUAACACGUGGGCAACCUGCCCGCAAGACCGGGAUAACUCCGGGAAACCGGAGCUAAUACCGGAUAACACCGAAGACCGCAUGGUCUUCGGUUGAAAGGCGGCCUUUGGGCUGUCACUUGCGGAUGGGCCCGCGGCGCAUUAGCUAGUUGGUGAGGUAACGGCUCACCAAGGCGACGAUGCGUAGCCGGCCUGGGAGGGUGACCGGCCACACUGGGACUGAGACACGGCCCAGACUCCUACGGGAGGCAGCAGUAGGGAAUCUUCCGCAAUGGGCGAAAGCCUGACGGAGCGACGCCGCGUGAGCGAAGAAGGCCUUCGGGUCGUAAAGCUCUGUUGUGAGGGACGAAGGAGCGUCGUUCGAAGAGGGCGGCGCGGUGACGGUACCUCACGAGAAAGCCCCGGCUAACUACGUG
rnacentral:rRNA from 1 species